GAUGGGCCGGCAGAGGGGAAGCCGUCUAUCAGCGAGUGAACGGCUGGAGAUGAUGCACCGUCGAAGCCGUCGUAUGAUGCCUCGGUUUGUCAGAACUCAAAAGGUACGGAUUUGACAUCGAACUUUUCAUACACGGGGGAGAGAUAAGAUCAAACCAUGGUCGAGUUCCACGGCGCCAGCACAAGAAGAGGACGAAGCGCAGUAGCAGUCAACAGCAAGAACAAGAGUCUGUGUUUUCGUCUGUGAUAAUAAGGGUUUUUUUCUAAUGAAUAUUAUCUUAUCGAAUCUUUCGCUGCCUUCUUCAAGAUUUUUCUUGCUGUUGUUGAAUCUCGCAUCAAACAGAAACAUGGAUCACUUGCGAUGCUGAAAAAUUACGGGGUCAUAUCCAAAUUUAGCAUUGCUUUUAGAUCGAAAGCAAUCUUGAUUUCUGCAUAAUAUUUCCCAGGGUUUCUUUCUUCUCUGCCAAAGUUUCAUGAACUUGAAUAAUAGCAGUUAUUGGAAGGGGAUGCUGUCUGUCGUUCAUUCUCGAGAUCUUGUUUUGUAUGUGUGUGCGUGUAUACAUGUAUGUAGAGUGUUGAAUCUGGCAUGAAAUCAGAACCAUGGAUCGCUACGACAUGUGUGCGAGCUUUCACCUUGCCCCAAAAGAAAGUAAUGGGUAGCAACCAAUGAAGCUGAAAGUUACGCGACAAAUUUAGCAAUUUAGCAUUGGUUUUAGAUCAAGAGAUGUCUUGAUUUCUGCAUGAUUAUUUCAAAUUGUUUCUUUCUUCCCUGCCAAAGUCUGAUGAUCUUUAAUAAUAGCCACUUCUUGGAAGAGAAAUGCUGUCUGUCAUUGAUUUUCUCGAGGUUUCGUUUUGUGUGUAGAUAUACAUGUGUAUCCAGUAUUGAAUCUUGCAUGAAAUCCGAACCAUUGAUCACUAUAGCUCUUCCACCAUGCUCCAAAAUAAAGUAAUGGGUAGCAACCAAUGAAGCUGAAAAUUUAUGCAAUUUAUCCUAAUUUUGCAUUGGGUUUAGAGAGUUCUUUCUUAUCGGUCAAAAUUCCAGGCUCUUCAAUAAUAGCUCUGCUUAUUCGAAUAGUGAUCCUGUUUGUCAUUAAAUUUUCUUCUAUGAUUUUGUUUUGUGUGUAAUACGGUCUGUUGAACUGAUGGCAUUAAUGUCUAGAUUUGUGAAGCAAAGUAAUGUGAGCAUGGUUUAUGAAUCAUCCGAGGACAAGAUUCAGGCAAAAAUGGCCACUUUCCCCCGUGACAUCUUGUUCUGCAUCCUUUCCAGGUUGCCCCUGAAAUCUGUUCUUCGGUUUUGUUGUGUAUCUAAGUUAUGGCUUGAUGUGAUAAAAAGUCCAGAGUUCGGGUACCUCCACUCUAAGAAAUCAGCUGGUGACCCUACAUUACUAAUUCUGUCCCACCGUCUACUGAAGGAGAACAUCAUCAGCAUAAGCCCAAUAAGCCUCAGGGGUCAUCAACUCCACAUUAGCGAUAAUUCCAUCAGAAAUUUGGUUGGUUCCUGCUCAUUGAAUUUAGUAGGGGCUUGCAAUGGCUUCCUGUGUUUUGCAUCAUUCGAUCAUGAGUGUAUCCUGGUCUGUAAUCCUAUCACAAUCGAGUUUGUCAUUCUACCGAAACCUGGUACAACUCUUCCUCCAGAGCCUCUCACAAUAGUCUAUGGUUUUGGGUUUGAUUCUAUGUCAGAGACAUACAAAGUUGUUCGUGUAUCAUAUUCUGAAGGAUCUUUACACGGUGAUGCUAAUCUUAAGGUUUCAGCUGAGGUAUACAACUUGGGUGCAACAGGGUCUUGGAGAGCAGUGCGAGACUUUCAGCAGCCUCCGUAUGGUCUGCCUGUGUUUGCUAAUGGACAUCUGCACUGGUUAGUACAUCCACAUUUUUCUGGUGCUGAUAGAAUCAUAUCAUUUGAUAUCGGAAAAGAGGAAUCGGUAAUGACACCUCACCCAAAUUUUGGUUUGAGAUUCAGUAUUUCCGAGCUGGGAGGGUGUUUGUCUGUGGUAGAUCUUAGGAAGCGCACUCUCAUUGAGGUAUGGGUGCUUAAGGAUCAAUUUAACAACUAUUGGCAGCAGGAAUACAUCCUUCCUGUAGGUGUGCCUUAUGGUCUUGAUAUGGGGCUUCCUAGGCUGAUAUCCAUCUCUGAGAAGAAUGGAGUGCUACUGAUUUGGCUACAGGAUGCAAUAUUUUCAUAUGAGCAAAGAACCUUGAGUCGGAAGAAGCUGCUGAUAUCAGGGUUGCCAUCAUGGUUGGAUUGGGAGAUUUGCUGUGGGUUUAGGCCGAGUCUGGCUCCGCUGAGGGGCAAUCUUGAAAGAUUGAAAGAGAACAUGGAUGUUGCAUAUUUUACUAGUGACAUGGAAAUUUAUUCCCAGCCCAUAAUUUCUUCACAGAUUGUGGAGUAUAAAGCUAUUGAUCAUGUUGGGAGAUGAUAUGAUUGACUCCAUACAUGAUGCUUGGGGACAAAUGGUGGCUUUACUUCCUAUUGAUACUGUGAAAACUCUCUCAUUUACAUAGACGGUCAGACUGAAUACUAUUUGGAGAACUAGUUUAUUGUCUUUCAUUCGGUGAAGCUAUGUACCCAGAGACGAGAACACUAGCAUACAAUCUUGCCAAUUUUGCCAGAGCACGCAACACUGAUGUUUUUCGAAGAGACAGUUAGCAGAGGGAGAUGCCAAUCUGAUACUGAUGCAAUCUAUGUCAAUGAGAAUGACAGUUUAUUCCCUUAACACUGAUGCCAUCAGAUUUUGAGACACUACUGUUGGGUUCUUGCUGACACAAUGGAGAUGCACCAAACUUUUCCAUGUUGGAUCAACUGACAAGCAACUACUCUUGCUUGUGGAUUGGACAGCAACUAAGAUUGCCUCUGCUGCCAUUGGAUCUCCAGUAUUAUAUGAGGUGUGACAGAGAACAUAAUCAGCAACAUGUGAACCAGUGAGAGGUCAUUUGCCAACCUGGUCAGCUCAUACAUCGAUUGGAAGCCAAAUCAGUCCUAAAAAUGACUAUUUGUUCUCCUUUGCAUCUCUCCUUUUGAUAUUAUGAUAGGAUAUGUCUUGCAGUUGCAGGGUUUUCUCACCUCUGGAUCAUUAUUACUCCACAGACCCUUUGCAGCACGGCUCACAUCAAACAAAAGAAAGCAAAUUCCACAAGGUUAUACAACACUGACACUGAUUCCUCGAGCAUUGUGUCAUUUCUUCUGUUGGGCUUUUUCUGAGGACACAAGCAUGCCUACUGAGCUCCAUGCAAGUGAACUUGUUCCUCAUAACUUAUCUGAAUCAAUGGAGCAAGAAAAAUUGACCAUUGAGCUGACUCUCUGGAUAUGGUAUGAUUCAUGGUGGUAGCUGCUGAUUGGAGUAAAUUCUUUCAUCAAAAUGCAAAAAAGAAAGGUUGAAGGAAAAAUAAUCUAAAGAGGAAUCCAAAUUCUUUGUUCUUAGUUAUGUUAUCACUGUAUCCAAUGAUCAGCAAAGCACUCAGGUUAUCAUCAUCAAAUGCAGAAGUCCCAAGUAACUGAGAUCAACAGCUCUGUCCUACAAGUACAAGAUUCUAAAUCAUAUGAGAGACUCCUAUAUGGUGGCAAGCAAAUGGAGUCGUCUAAAGGCGUAGCAGGUUCAGAAGAGAUGAGCACAAACUCCACGAGAUUGCAGAAGAUAACGGAGAAGGGAGAGAGAGAUGUUCCGACAUUACCUUGAGACUGAAGGCGUACAAGGCCAUCUGAUCGAGGGAGGUGACGUUGAGGUGCAGCGGCAUCAGCCGCAGGCUCUGCAGCCCCACCACCAGCUUCACCAGCUGCUUCGGCCGCCGCCUUGAGAGCACCUUCAGGCUCGCAUGGCUCUCCACCACCGUCACCUCGAUGUUCGCGGUGGCUGCUCGGUUCUCGACCUCGCCGCUGUUCCCAAAGGCAGUGUCAGCGCCGGUGACGCCGUGAUUCUUCUUGUCGUUGUUGCUGCUGCUGCUGCUGCUGCUACUGUCGGUGGCGCCCCCAUUGGCUGAGUAGGAGGCGUACUGGGGGAAGCUAAAGCAGUCGGCAAAGGCGGAGGCGACGCCGGCUGCACCCGCUCGUUGCUCGAGUCGCUUCCGCAGUUCCAGUGAUCGAAGGAGCUGCUCGAGUUCUUUGACGUAGUUUAUUGCGCCGCCGACGAUCGAUGCUUGAUCACCCUGCACAUUGGCGGCAUCAAAUGAGGACCACGUAAGCCAAGUGACAAGAAGGACGAAGCGAAGAGCCUGUCACCCUUUGGACGAAGGAAGAGGGCAUGAGAGAGCGGAGCGCGGCCAGGUACUCGUUCAUUUGCCUGCGGCGGUUGCGCUCCACGGCGAUGUGGGUCAUCCUCUGGCUCUCCACCUCCUCUUUGUUCUUGACGCUCUUCCCCCGCCGCCUCUUCCUCCGGCCGCCCACCUUCGUCGACGGGGAAUUCGCCUUCCACUCCUGCAGGUGUUGUGCCAAGGAGGAGGAGCAGGAGGAGGGAUCCCAAGUCCCAUCCCCGCCACCGCCCAUUCUUUUCUCGGCCCCAAGCAGUCCUCCCAAGCCACUGCCCCAUGCUCCUCCUCCUCCUCCUCCUCCGGCGGCGGUGGCACACCACUCAUCGAAAGCAUAGCCAAAGAGGCCUUGAGGGAAAGCCGCAGCUUCCAGGGCCAUUCCUCUCUUCCUACAAGGAGCUCACCACCAAACCUUCUCCUUGAUGAGGUGUCAGAAAGGUUGCGCUUUUAUAGACUCAAGGUAUGCAUGUUUUCUUCUCCUCUUUCUUUGAUUAAUCGGAGAGAGAGAGAGAGAGAGAGAGAGAGAGUCAGUGUUUUGUAUCAUCUGCUGGAGUAGGUUGGCAUCAUCAAGAAUAGAGAGGAAAAGUUGGAGGGCCUGAUGAGAGACACAAGUGAAAGAAAUGAAGUGGUUCAGAAGAUUCUGCCUGGUGUUGGACGUGUGUGUGUUUCUGUCUGCAGCGGGAGGAUAGAUGUGAGGCCAUGUGAGCUUCAACUUCUAGCUUUGAGUUCUCACUCCUCCUCCCUCUCCGCAAUCAUCUGCAGCAUGUACUGCCACUGAUGCUGCAAACCCAUGUGGCCUGUGACACACUUCCAUGGGAUACUGAUCCUGAGGACUUGUUUCUUCUCUUUGACCGAUGGAAUACGUACUCGGGUCGUGUCAAUAGCCUACGAUGUGCUUCAAGGGUUCACAGGUGGGGGUAUAUUCCCUGUGCUUUCUGAGCUAAAACAGGAAGACCAAAGCAUAAGUCAUAGUAAUUACUAUUGUCCUAAAGAUUACCUAUAUCAAUCAGUAGAGGAUUUGUAUUUGAUCUAGCAAUUUGGUCAAUCUCCUGGCAUAGAUUUCUUGAGCUUUGGAGAUGUGUGAGGGAUGUUUGAUUUCUACCUUCAAACAAGGUCUUCUUACUAACUAACUAGAAUUGACUGGAUCAUUAGCCUUUACUCUUGGACAACACUUGCAUUCCUCAGUUUGCAGGGAAGGCAAAAAAAUGUGGAUGCUUAGUGAGAGACUUGUGUAUUAUUUUGUGCCAGUCCGUGCAGCCUAGUAAAAUGUUAUUACUUGGAUGAUCAGUAGAUGUCGCCCGGUGCCACACGGUUCAGACAUAUUCAACUAAAUAGUGAGUAAUCUAAUCCGAGGAAUUAUUCGUUUUGGAAUGGAUUCAUUUGGUCUUAUGUUGUGGAUGUUUGAGAGAGAGAGAGAGAAAGAAAGAAAGAAUUUUUCUUUUUUUUUGGGCACUUGCAACUAAAGAUGGAUUCAUCAACCAUUAGAAAAUUUGAGUAUAGCUCAGAA